GACCCAUUGGCUCAAUCGGUAGAGCGCUGGGAGUUAAUCCAGGUGUCUGGCGUUUGAAUCGUCUAUGAGUUACCG
rnacentral:tRNA from 1 species